CUCCCCAAGACUCAUAGGCAGAGCGGCAGCAGCGAUGUCCCGAGGCCUCCUUGGAGCCUUAUAUGCUGUGGUGGAGUAUGGGGCCCGCCCCCAGGCCCAAGGUGGAAAAAGGGCUUCAGGGGGGAGCGGUCCUCCCCAAGACUCACGGCAGAGCGGCAGCAGCGAUGUCCCGAGGCCUCCUUGGAGCCUUAUAUGCUGUGGUGGAGUAUGGGGCCCGCCCCCAGGCCCAAGGUGGAAAAAGGGCUUCAGGGGGGAGCGGUCCUCCCCACAAACUCACGGCAGAGCGGCAGCAGCAAUGUCCCGAGGCCUCCUUGGAGCCUUAUAUGCUGAGGUGGAGUAUGGGGCCCGCCCCCCGGCCCAAGAUGGAAAAAGGGCUUCAAGGGGGAGCGGUCCUCCCCAAGACUCACCGGCAAAGCAACAGCAGCAAUGUCCCGGGCCUCC